rnacentral:rRNA from 1 species
AGCUCCACGAGCAUGUACGUAAGUUGUUGCAGUUAAAAAGCUCGUAGUUGGAUCUCAGGCUCGUAGUCAGUGGUCCGCCCGAUACGGGUGUGUACUGCUGUGCUCGGCCUACGUCUGGUUAAGUUCGUAGUGCCCUUAACUGGGUGCUGCGGAAUGCCAGAAGGUUUACUCUGAAAAAAUUAGAGUGCUCAAAGCAAGCUGUUAUGCUUGAAUACUGUUGCAUGGAAUAAUGGAAUAGGACCUCGGAUCUAUUUUGUUGGUUUUCGGAGUCGAGGUAAUGAUUAAGAGGGACAGACGGGGGCAUUCGUAUUGCGCCGUUAGAGGUGAAAUUCUUGGAUCGGCGCAAGACGAACAACUGCGAAAGCAUUUGCCAAGGAUGUUUUCAUUAAUCAAGAACGAA